GUCAGAGCCCAAAGUGGGUCGGGUAGGAGGAUAGACUGAGACAGAAGAGAGAAAUUUCCUGCUUGACAUAAAGGAGCUGGACUUUGCUGUCUACCUCAGAUGCUCCCCUCCCAGCCCUGGGGGUUCUGGUCUGGCCCAAGUCUGGAAGAGGAAACAGCAGGGAUGGACUGAAAGAAAAGCUGAACUGUGAGGCAAGGAAUCUUAAGGACAGCCCUGGCCAACCCCACAGGGAGCUUUGGAGCUAGAAGUCUGGCCAAAGUUGCCUCAGGCACCUAAAAGAAGCAAGCCCAGCUGAGGACAAAAGAACCACCCAGUUGAGUCCAACACAAAUUGUCGCCCCACGGUAUAAUGAGCUGAAUAAAUGAUUGUUGUUUUAGAACACUAA